rnacentral:lncRNA from 1 species
ACACACUCCUCUCUCUUUGUUGUGGUCAUUACAUCACUACACUCCCUCUCUUCUUUGUUGUGGUCAUUACAUCACUACACUCCCUCUCUUCUUUGUGGUCAUUACAUCACUACACUCCCUCUCUUCUUUGUUGUGGUCAUUACAUCUCCACACUCCCUCUUCUUUGUUGUGGUCAUUACAUCACCUACCUUCCCUCUCUUCUUUGUGUGUCAUUAAU